rnacentral:lncRNA from 7 species
GUUUUCCCUUCAAGGCGUUCUGUGAUGCAGCAUUAUACCACGGUGAAUGGGAAUAAAGAAAACAACAAUCUAUUUAUGGGACUUCAAACACAAUGAGCCAUAUGCUUGCUUGAGCAGCAGAGCGUGGUGUGAAUAAGACGAUUGAAACACACUUGCCAAAGCGCCUGAUGUGUGCUUUCUUGCACAAAGGAAAAAAGACCUGUAUGUUAAAAUACUGUCACAAUUUCAGAUCCUUAAAGGCUGCAGGGCACAGCGAUCUAAUCCUUAGCUCACUGAAACCGGGAAAGUUUUGGCCCUUUUAUCAAGUACAAUGCAUCAAUCAGUGGGCACGCAUCCAAACCCAGCCUUCUGCUACCCUCUAUUGGGAAGAGAUGAGAUGAAGGAAACCCAUGUUCCUGCGUCAUCUGAAAUACUCCGGGAUACUCCUCCAGCCUCAGCUUCUAACCUGCAGACAGGGGGAGAUCUGAUCCAAGCAGUGUCACUCACAGCCAGUUGAUUCUGAGAUUUCUCCUGUUCUGAGUAUUCUUUUUUUUUUGGUGUGUCUGGAGACACGCCAGCCUGACGCUGAGCUUUUGUGCUGUGUUCCAGCCAGUCCCUCUGGGGUGACCCAGAGAUGUUUUGUCCUUGUGUACAGAUUGUUUCCUCCCAUGCACCUACAGAGCUCCCUUAAACAUCGGUGACAAAGGAGUGGCUACUGGGCAACAUCCCUAUGGGACAGGAGGGUUCUGGGGACGUUGGGACCUGCUGGCUGAGGGACUCUUUGUCUUCAGAUAGAAGACAGUGUUUUGCAGCAAAGAUGGGUAAUUCAAGUGGAACGCAUCCCAGGGGGUGCUGGCUCCACCAGCUGCUCCCUCUUACUUGUGGCAGAGGUAACACAGAUGACCUGUGGGGUGUGCAAGUAACCCUCUGCUUUAUAGUGGUGCUUUGAAUAGGUGGAAUAGCAGCACUGCUCCCUAAGCAGGCUGCAAGUUU